rnacentral:snoRNA from 1 species
ACCCUCCGGUUUCUGUAACCAUCAGUUCUAAACACUGGUCUGAGCGGUUCUAAAACAAGGAAAAGUACAAUUGAAACCAACCUCAAUUGUGUGUGACAUACAAACUAGUUUUAAACAACA